UUAAGCGACUAAGCGUACACGGUGGAUGCCCUGGCAGUCAGAGGCGAUGAAGGACGUGCUAAUCUGCGAUAAGCGUCGGUAAGGUGAUAUGAACCGUUAUAACCGGCGAUUUCCGAAUGGGGAAACCCAGUGUGAUUCGUCACACUAUCAUUAACUGAAUCCAUAGGUUAAUGAGGCGAACCGGGGGAACUGAAACAUCUAAGUACCCCGAGGAAAAGAAAUCAACCGAGAUUCCCCCAGUAGCGGCGAGCGAACGGGGAGGAGCCCAGAGCCUGAAUCAGUGUGUGUGUUAGUGGAAGCGUCUGGAAAGGCGCGCGAUACAGGGUGACAGCCCCGUACACAAAAAUGCACAUGCUGUGAGCUCGAUGAGUAGGGCGGGACACGUGGUAUCCUGUCUGAAUAUGGGGGGACCAUCCUCCAAGGCUAAAUACUCCUGACUGACCGAUAGUGAACCAGUACCGUGAGGGAAAGGCGAAAAGAACCCCGGCGAGGGGAGUGAAAAAGAACCUGAAACCGUGUACGUACAAGCAGUGGGAGCACGCUUAGGCGUGUGACUGCGUACCUUUUGUAUAAUGGGUCAGCGACUUAUAUUCUGUAGCAAGGUUAACCGAAUAGGGGAGCCGAAGGGAAACCGAGUCUUAACUGGGCGUUAAGUUGCAGGGUAUAGACCCGAAACCCGGUGAUCUAGCCAUGGGCAGGUUGAAGGUUGGGUAACACUAACUGGAGGACCGAACCGACUAAUGUUGAAAAAUUAGCGGAUGACUUGUGGCUGGGGGUGAAAGGCCAAUCAAACCGGGAGAUAGCUGGUUCUCCCCGAAAGCUAUUUAGGUAGCGCCUCGUGAAUUCAUCUCCGGGGGUAGAGCACUGUUUCGGCAAGGGGGUCAUCCCGACUUACCAACCCGAUGCAAACUGCGAAUACCGGAGAAUGUUAUCACGGGAGACACACGGCGGGUGCUAACGUCCGUCGUGAAGAGGGAAACAACCCAGACCGCCAGCUAAGGUCCCAAAGUCAUGGUUAAGUGGGAAACGAUGUGGGAAGGCCCAGACAGCCAGGAUGUUGGCUUAGAAGCAGCCAUCAUUUAAAGAAAGCGUAAUAGCUCACUGGUCGAGUCGGCCUGCGCGGAAGAUGUAACGGGGCUAAACCAUGCACCGAAGCUGCGGCAGCGACGCUGAUGCGUUGUUGGGUAGGGGAGCGUUCUGUAAGCCUGUGAAGGUGUGCUGUGAGGCAUGCUGGAGGUAUCAGAAGUGCGAAUGCUGACAUAAGUAACGAUAAAGCGGGUGAAAAGCCCGCUCGCCGGAAGACCAAGGGUUCCUGUCCAACGUUAAUCGGGGCAGGGUGAGUCGACCCCUAAGGCGAGGCCGAAAGGCGUAGUCGAUGGGAAACAGGUUAAUAUUCCUGUACUUGGUGUUACUGCGAAGGGGGGACGGAGAAGGCUAUGUUGGCCGGGCGACGGUUGUCCCGGUUUAAGCGUGUAGGCUGGUUUUCCAGGCAAAUCCGGAAAAUCAAGGCUGAGGCGUGAUGACGAGGCACUACGGUGCUGAAGCAACAAAUGCCCUGCUUCCAGGAAAAGCCUCUAAGCAUCAGGUAACAUCAAAUCGUACCCCAAACCGACACAGGUGGUCAGGUAGAGAAUACCAAGGCGCUUGAGAGAACUCGGGUGAAGGAACUAGGCAAAAUGGUGCCGUAACUUCGGGAGAAGGCACGCUGAUAUGUAGGUGAAGUCCCUCGCGGAUGGAGCUGAAAUCAGUCGAAGAUACCAGCUGGCUGCAACUGUUUAUUAAAAACACAGCACUGUGCAAACACGAAAGUGGACGUAUACGGUGUGACGCCUGCCCGGUGCCGGAAGGUUAAUUGAUGGGGUCAGCGCAAGCGAAGCUCUUGAUCGAAGCCCCGGUAAACGGCGGCCGUAACUAUAACGGUCCUAAGGUAGCGAAAUUCCUUGUCGGGUAAGUUCCGACCUGCACGAAUGGCGUAAUGAUGGCCAGGCUGUCUCCACCCGAGACUCAGUGAAAUUGAACUCGCUGUGAAGAUGCAGUGUACCCGCGGCAAGACGGAAAGACCCCGUGAACCUUUACUAUAGCUUGACACUGAACAUUGAGCCUUGAUGUGUAGGAUAGGUGGGAGGCUUUGAAGUGUGGACGCCAGUCUGCAUGGAGCCGACCUUGAAAUACCACCCUUUAAUGUUUGAUGUUCUAACGUUGACCCGUAAUCCGGGUUGCGGACAGUGUCUGGUGGGUAGUUUGACUGGGGCGGUCUCCUCCUAAAGAGUAACGGAGGAGCACGAAGGUUGGCUAAUCCUGGUCGGACAUCAGGAGGUUAGUGCAAUGGCAUAAGCCAGCUUGACUGCGAGCGUGACGGCGCGAGCAGGUGCGAAAGCAGGUCAUAGUGAUCCGGUGGUUCUGAAUGGAAGGGCCAUCGCUCAACGGAUAAAAGGUACUCCGGGGAUAACAGGCUGAUACCGCCCAAGAGUUCAUAUCGACGGCGGUGUUUGGCACCUCGAUGUCGGCUCAUCACAUCCUGGGGCUGAAGUAGGUCCCAAGGGUAUGGCUGUUCGCCAUUUAAAGUGGUACGCGAGCUGGGUUUAGAACGUCGUGAGACAGUUCGGUCCCUAUCUGCCGUGGGCGCUGGAGAAUUGAGGGGGGCUGCUCCUAGUACGAGAGGACCGGAGUGGACGCAUCACUGGUGUUCGGGUUGUCAUGCCAAUGGCACUGCCCGGUAGCUAAAUGCGGAAGAGAUAAGUGCUGAAAGCAUCUAAGCACGAAACUUGCCCCGAGAUGAGUUCUCCCUGACUCCUUGAGAGUCCUGAAGGAACGUUGAAGACGACGACGUUGAUAGGCCGGGUGUGUAAGCGCAGCGAUGCGUUGAGCUAACCGGUACUAAUGAACCGUGAGGCUUAACCUU
rnacentral:rRNA from 1 species